CAGUAGCCGCGGGAAAACGAAGGGUGCAAGCGUUACUCGGAAUUACUGGGCGUAAAGCGUGCGUAGGUGGUGGUUUAAGUCCGUUGUGAAAGCCCUGGGCUCAACCUGGGAAUUGCAGUGGAUACUGGGUCACUAGAGUGUGGUAGAGGAUAGUGGAAUUUCCGGUGUAGCAGUGAAAUGCGUAGAGACCUGGAGGAAUACCGAUGGCGAAGGCAGCCAUCUGGCCUAAUACUGACGCUGAGGUACGAAAGCAUGGGGAGCAAACAGGAUUAGAUACCCCUGUAGUCCCUGUCUCUUAUAA
rnacentral:rRNA from 1 species